UCAGGAUGAACGCUAGCUACAGGCUUAACACAUGCAAGUACGAGGGGAAACGACAUCGAAAGCUUGCUUUUGAUGGCGUCGACCGGCGCACGGUGAGUAACGCGUAUCAACCUGCCCAUCACUUGGGAUAACCUUGCGAAAGUAAGACUAAUACCCAAUGAUAUCUCUAGAAGACAUCUGAAAGAGAUUAAAGAUUUAUCGGUGAUGGAUGGGGAUGCGUCUGAUUAGCUUGUUGGCGGGGUAACGGCCCACCAAGGCGACGAUCAGUAGGGGUUCUGAGAGGAAGGUCCCCCACAUUGGAACUGAGACACGGUCCAAACUCCUACGGGAGGCAGCAGUGAGGAAUAUUGGUCAAUGGACGAGAGUCUGAACCAGCCAAGUAGCGUGCAGGAUGACGGCCCUAUGGGUUGUAAACUGCUUUUAUAAGGGAAUAAAGUGAGUCUCGUGAGACUUUUUGCAUGUACCUUAUGAAUAAGGACCGGCUAAUUCCGUG
rnacentral:rRNA from 1 species